UUUACUGAACUUUGGACUACAAAUCUCAACAGUUUUGCUUAAAAAAUUAAUUUGAAAAUAUAAACCUAAAAAUACUUGGACUCUUUGAUCCAGCAACUCCAUUUCUGGAGUUCUAUUUUACAAAAAUAAAGAUGAAAUAAAAAACUGUAUGCACAAAGAUAUGUGCUGAAAAAAUUCACGUAAAUAGAAAUGAAAAUAGCCUGAAAAUGUAAGAGGAAUGGAAGAGUUAAUUAAAACAUGACAUGCUUAUAAAUAAAAUACAGGUAACCAUAAAAAUAGGUAAAUAAAGUAUAUAAUUCUAGAUAUGCUUGAGGUACUAAUGCAUGCAUACAUAUAUAGCUACUUCCAUGUUUUUCUAUACAGAAACAUACCAACAAACACACACACAUGCAUUCAGGACUGGCUAAAUAGUUGUAGGGCUCUUUGCAAAUAAAAAUUUGAAAUCUCUUUUCCAAAAUUAUUAAGAAUUUCAAGAUUGUGAUAGGAGAGCAUUAAACCAAGAAUGAGAUUCUUCUGAGUGUGUGGCCCUAUCUGACUGCACAGUGUAUACUCAUAAAAUCAGCUAGGGAUGAAUAUUUUGAUGACAAAAUUACUGCAAAAAAAUAGGUUCAGAUAUUUCUAGUAGCUACCUUUUGUGAUAGCAUUAUAGAUGAUUAUUAUUUUCUUCCUACUACAUUUCCAUAUUACCUAAAAUUUUCUCCAUGGCCAUAGGUUGUUUAAUAGUCAGAAACAGGUCUGGGUGUGGUGGCUCACCCAUGUAAUCACAGCACUUUGGGAGGUAGAGGCAGGCAGAUCACUUGAGGUUAGGAGUUUGAGACCAGUCUGGCUAACAUGGCAAAAACUUGUCUGGACUCAAAAUACAAAAAAAAUUAGCUGGGUGUGGUGGCACACGCCUGUAGUCCUGGCUACUCAUGAGGCUGAAGCAGGAGGAUCACUUGAGCCUAGGAGGUCAAGGCUGCAGUGAGCCGAGAUCAUGUCGUUCCCACUCCAGAGUAAGACUCUGUCUCAAAAAAAAAGAAGCAAAAUUAUUUUUUAAAGUACGAUUUAAAAGAAUCAUGCAAAGCUAUGAUAUAUUCCCUAAAAUUCAACUGUGAGGUUUCCUAGACAUGAAUAUACUUUGCUGGUGAACACCCAAAUAUUUUAUUUUGCAGAUUUGGGCAUUUUCUUUUUUUUUCUUUUUUUGAGAUGGAGUCUUGCUCUGUUGCCCAGGCUGGAGUGCAGUGGCAUAAUCUCAGCUCACUGCAACCUUCACCUCCUGGGAUCAAGCGAUUUUCCUGUCUCAGUCUCCCGAGUAGCUGGGAUUACAAGUGAAUUUUUGUGUUCACUGUGUUGCCCAGGCUGGUCUUGAACUCCUGAGCUAAGGCAAUCCACCUGACUUGGCCUCCCAAAGUGCUGGGAUUAUAGGCGUCAGCCUCUGCCUGGCCAGAUUUGGGUAUUUCUUCUAUAGUUGCCUAGUAGCAAGAAAAUUGGUAAAAAUUGAUUGAAGUUGAUAAAGGUUGUCUUUAUCGUCCUUCUGUCUUUCAUUUUUUCUCCCCAUGAAGGUCUCUCUCAUCAUUUCCUUUUACUGGUCUACUGACUUCCUGUUUUCUAAUGUACCCUCCCCUUUAUGAAAAGAGGAAAAGUAGUUAUCAUUUGUUAGAAGAUUGCUAUGUGUAGAGAACCAUACUAAGUAAAUUGUAAUAUCUCCUUUAGUCUUUUUAACAGUAUCUACUUUUCAAGUAGAUUGUGUUAGCCUAGUUUUAUAGGAGAGGAUGUAAAGGCAUAGAGAUUAUGUAACUGUGGCUAAGGUCAUAGUAUUAGUAAGAGUCAGAGCUGGGAUUAGAAUUCAGGUGAGGUAGGUCAGUCUCUAAAUAUGGUCACCAACAAUUUCUCCCAUCUCUGUACAUGCCUGCAGUGUCUUAGAUUAAGAAGAGGGAAAUAUUUACACACCUCUUAAAUCUAGAAUACCUUUAUAACUUGCUUUGAACAAUAGAAUAAAAUAGAAAUGACUCUCUGGGACUUUGGCAUUUAGGCCUUAGGAUAACUGGCAGCUUCUGCUUCUUAGGCCUUGGAACUUAGCCACUAUGCUGUAAGGAAAUCCAGGCUAGACUACUGAAUGAUUGGAGACCAUAUAUAGAGAGGUUGAGAAUAAGUAGGUCAUAGUGUUAUACGUAUAAACCUCACAGCCUAGCGGGCUCUAUAAAUCAAAACCCACAAAGCAUUGUAAUGUGCAUUGUACUAGAGGUAAGAAGCCAGAUUAAAGUAAGUAGCCUUGUGUGUGGUGGGGUGGGAGGAGAGGGGUAUGUGUAGAAGGUAAUUUCCUGAAGUGGUGACAGCACCUGUCUCCCAUCUUGAAGGGUGUGUAGGGAUUCCCUAGGUAGAAAAAGGCAUCCCAGGUUAAGAGAACAGCAUUUGCAAAGUUAUGGAAGUAUAACAAAAAAAGACAUGAUUAGGGAAUGGUGGGUUGAUAGUACUUUCUAUAGUUUCAUUGAUCCUUAUACUUCUAAAUUUUAACUGCUUUAAAGAUAUAAACUUUCUCAUUGUAGCUUUCCAUGCUGGUAGAUGUGGAGGGUGGAUGGGAGGAAGGGCUUCCUCCACUGAUCAGUGGAGAAGGAUUUUUUUUUUUUUAAUUGAGACAGAGUCUCACUCUGUUGCCCAUGCUGGAGUGCAGUGGCACAAUCUUGGCUCACUGCAACUUCUGCCUCCCUGGUUCAAGCAAUUCUCUUGCCUCAGCCUCCCAAGCAGCUGGGACUACAGGCAUGCACACCCAACUAAUUUUUCUAUGUUUUAAUAGAGAUGGGGUUUCACCAUGUUGGCCAGGCUGGUCUUGAACUCCUAACCUCGUGAUCCACCCACUUUGGCCUCCCAAAGUACUGGGAUUACAGGCAUGAGCUACUGUGCUGGGCGGGGAUUUGUUUUUAAACAUUCAUUCCUCUCAAUUUAUUUUUUAUUGUGAUAUUUGAAUGUAUUAUAUUAGUUUCCCAGGGCAACUGUAACAAAUGACCACAAAUGUGGCUUAAAAUGAAAGAAAUCUAUUCUCACAGUUCUGGAGGCCAGAAGUCUGAAAUCAAGGUGUUGACAGGGCCACGCUUCCUCUAAAGGUGCUGGAGGAGGGUCCUUCCCUGCCUCUUCCAGCUGGUAGUUCCAGGUGGUUUUAGCUCGUGGCAGCAUCACUUCUGUUUUUCUGUCUGUCUUCAAUGCCCUCAUUCUCUGUGUCUGUGUUUUCUCCUUUCCUUAUAAGGACAUUGUCAUUGUACUUAGGACCACCCUAAUCCAGGAUGAUCUCAUCUUGAAAUUCUUAAUUACAUCUGCCCUUUUCCCAAAUAUGGUCACCGUUCAGGUGCUAGGUGGACAUAUAUUUUGGUGGGGAUCACCAGUCAACCCAUUACAGAUAGCAACCAAAAUUUCCCUUUGCUAAUAGUUUAUAUUUAACAACAAUUUUUUUAAAAAAUCUUCAUUUUAUCACUUAUAAAUUUCAAAAAGUUUAAAACUAUAACAUAUUUAAUUCCAAAUGUGACUUUGGCUGGGUCUCUCUCCUAAGCAGCCCUUUAAUAGAUUUUCUUAGGCAGAAUGCUAAAGGUCUACAUCAGAGGAGAACUGGCCCUGUGAUUAGCUAUGCUAAAUUGAAACCUUAUGAAAUAUAGUGUGGUUACAUUAAAUGGCAGUUAGAAUGUGGUCUACAUUAUUACAAAUAAAUGUUUUUCAUUAUAUUUUACUGUCAGCAAAUGCUGGUGUAAAACUCAUUGCCAUUCCUCAUAUGGCUACCUUGAGGGGAGUCAGAAAACACAUUGGCCUCUGAGAUCAUGUGAAUUAUUUUGAGAAUUCCAAAGACUCCAAACUCACUUGGAAGAAGCAUGAUGGAAAUUUCAUGGGCUUUUAAUUGAACUUUCAUCUUUGCUUCCUUUGUCAUUAAAGAAUGACUAUCCUGGAACUUGAGUUGUUGCUAGACCCCACUUAUUAAAAAACAAACAAACAAAAAACCCUGAAGUUUUUAUUGUUAAAGCCGCUUGGGAGGGGAAGAAACCUCACUCAGUAUACUGAAUGGUAAGAUUUACUUGCCAAGGUAACAUGCAUGACUUUAGACAGGUUUCAGCUGCUUUUUCCUUGGAAGGAAGAUAACUUUUAGGCUUGUGUAAGUGCUAUUUCUUUCUUCUUCCAAUUGCUACAACUGGAAACUGUAGUAAUUGUAGGGUUUUCUUUAAAAAAGUCGGUCUACAGGAGGCAGUAGAGAGUCUAUUCCAUUAAAGUCUUCCCAUGAGGAUUGAAGAGCUUCUAAUUUCUUGAUCAUUCUAAUCAUCAUCACCAUCUGGAAAAUUUCCUCAUUAAACUAAUAGUUGGUAAUCAUAUUGUCCUGGCUUCUAAAAUAAAACAAAACAAAAAGGCCUUCCAGACAAUCCAAGUAGGCUAUUUGUCCAACUGCUAUAUUUAUCUGUGUUGAUGUCAUUUAUACAUUCCAAACACCCACUGACUUUAAUGUACACCGAAUCAUGCCUUCAAGUAAUUGGUCUCAUCUACAAAGAAUGAGCCUGAGCCAUGAUUCUGUGCUCCUCUGUUUCUCACAUCACAGUCAUAAGUUAGCCCAAAGAUAAAAGCAUAUGAAGCUUUGGAUGAGAUCUCUCUUAUCUUUGAAGGAGAUAAGAAUCAUUAACUCCAUUCAAAGGUGACAUCAGAACCACGAAGGACGUUCUGAGACAGAGCAAAUUACGUCAUGCCAUUUUCCCUAGAUUUUCUAACUUUUCUCAUGUUUAGUAAUCAAUUGUUCACUGACUCUAAAUGUAUGGGAGGUGAAACUUUUUUUACUGUCUUAUAUUCUGAGGCUGGGCUGCAAGUUAAACUGACAAAAGACAAAUGAACAGAAGAAAAUUGUACACACUGUAUGUGAUGUUAAUAUUCUUAUGUGUGCAGGGUUUCAUAGAAAAGAGGUGAAAAAUCCCCAAAAAGCAGUUAAGCUUGAGGGUGUCAAUACCAUUUUAGCAAAGGUUGAUAACUUGGGGAGAAGCAACUAGACAGAGGAAAGAGGGUUUGGGCUUCCUGGGUGGUGAAUUGGUGGGAAGGUAAAUUUAUGAGGAAAAGCAAUAAUAAGAGUUAUUUUCUGAAGUUUCCGUACACUGCACAUCUUGGUGCUAUUUCCAUCUCCUAAUAAAGGUUGUUUUCCUCUUUCUAAUAGGGAGGGUGGGGAGACACCUUUGUUUAUCCUAAAGCGACGGUUUCUCCAUACACAGUGAACUGUAACCUACUCUUUUAACAAGUAGCCGAGUUUCAGCCAAUCACAGCAGCUGAGUUUCAGCCAAUCACAGGCAGCCAACUGUCCAAACCGCGUUUUUUUUUUUUUUUUUUUUUUUUUUUUGUUUGAGACGGAGUUUCGCUCUUGUUACCCAGGCUGGAGUGCAAUGGCGCGAUCUCGGCUCACCGCAACCUCCGCCUCCUGGGUUCAGGCAAUUCUCCUGCCUCAGCCUCCCGAGCAGCUGGGAUUACAGGCACGUGCCACCGUGCCCAACUAAUUUUUUGUAAUUUUAGUAGAGACGGGGUUUCACCAUGUUGACCAGCAUGGUCUCUAUCUGUUGACCUCGUGAUCCACCCGCCUCGGCUUCCCAAAGUGCUAGGAUUACAGGCUUGAGCCACCGCGCCCGGCCCCAAACCGCGUUUACAUAGGAUGCUGAGCGGCAACCAAUCCAGCUGUUUCUGCAGCAGGUAGACAGCAAAGUUCUGCUCAAGAAGCUGGCAUUGGAUAGAGCCUGAAGAAUUUUUCCAUGACCUUAUCAGAGGCAAUUUGGGCUUUGAGGACAGCAACCUUAACUACUGAGGAUCUAAAGGACUGAAUAGAAUAUGCUUGCUUCAAUGUCCUUGGCCGCAAAACUUAGUCCCACCAGCCUGACUUCUUUUUCCUGAUUAGGACUCCACAGAAGAUAUAAACAGGGUCUUGCUCUGUCACCCAGGCUGGAGUGCAGUUGCACAAUUUCAGCUCACUGCAACCUCUGCCUCCUGGGCUCUAGUGAUGCUUCUACCUCGGCCUCUCAAAGUGCUGGGAUUACAGGUGACAUGGGCUACCAUACCCAGUCAUGAAACUCACUUCUACGUGACAAAGGACUCUGCCAAGUGAUAUUGUUGCAGAAAAAUAACAUAUGGCCCUGGAGAGGCAUCCAUAGCAUAAUAGAUUGCAAUGUGUGGGGAGGAAGAAAGACACAUCCAUUAGUGACAACAUAAGUGUGGUAUCCGCAGAUUCUUCCACAAAUCCCACCUCAGGGCUUUGGAACUUUAUUUCCUCUGCUGAGAAUGCAGUUCUUCCAUAUAUCUUCUGACUUGUACAUGUACUUCCUUCCAGAAUGGACUUAACUCUCACCUCAUCAGAGAUGCCUCUCUGAGUAAAAUAGCAUUGCCUCACCUGGUCUCCAUCCUAUGUGUAAUAUACUUUUCUUCAUAGAAUCUAAGUAGCUGGGAUAUUAUUAUCUUUGAUGUUGAUGCUGUUGUUAUCUUGUGUCUCCCCUAAUAGAAUGUAGGCUCCAUGAUGGCAGGAACUAUUUUUUUUAAUUGUAUUGCCAGCAUAGGGAAUGGUUCUUUAAUUCUAGUUGACUCUCAGUAGGUUUUUCCAAUUUUAAAUGAUGAAGAAGAUAAAUGAAUAAAUGAAUGAAUGAGAGAUGUGAAAUGUGUUCAAGCUCAGUGGUUCACUAAAUGUAAGUAAUUUACAGAUCACAGUAGAUAGAAGAGAAACAAUAGGUAACAGACAGCCAUGGCAUAUUUCUGGUUGGAUUCAGAACAGAGUUAUCAGGGAAAUAAUAUAUAUAUGAGAACUUGCUUAUUUCCUCAUAUGGUUUGGUUGUGUCCCCACCAAAUCUCAUCUUAAAUUAUAACUUCCACAAUUCCCAUAUGUUGUGGGAGGAACCCUUUGGGAGGUAAUUGAAUUAUGGGGGUAGCUUUUUUCUGUGCUGUUUUUGUGAUGGUGAAUGAGUCUCAGGAGACCUGAUGGUUUUAAAAAUGGGAGUUUCCCUGCACAAGCUCCCUCUUUUCCUGCUUCCAUCCAUAUAAGACUUGACUUGCUCCUCCUUGCCUUCCACCAUGAUUGCGAGGCCUCUCCAGCCAUAUGGAACUGUAAGUCCAUUACACCUCUUUUUCUUCUGAUAAAGACAGUCUCAGGCAUGUCUUUAUCAGCAGUGUGAAAAUAGACUAACAUACUUCCGCAGAGAAAUAACUUCCAUGUUGGAACAGUUUCAGCUGAAGUUUAGAAUUUGGAAGUUUCAAAAUGUGAAGUCCCACUGAUUCUGAGCAUCCUCCCUUAACUGGUCUUACUGUAUGGUAAUAAAUAUCUAUUUAGUCUGCUCUACUGAACUACCUCUAUUCAACUAAUUUGAAAGACAAUGUGUUAGUUUGCUGGAGCCAUUAUAACAAAUAUCACAGACUGAGUAGUUUUAAUUUUUUAAAAUUUAUUUAUUUAACUUUAGGUGCAUACUAUAUUUGGCAUUUCUCCCCAUGUUAUCCCUCCCCACCCCUUGAUGUCUCUCCCCUAUCCCCCCAACUGCCCCCAGUGUGUGAUGCUCCUCUCCCUGAGUCCACGUGUUCUCAUUGUUCAACAUCCACCUAUGAGUGAGAAUAUGCGGUGUUUGGCUUUCUGUUCUUGUGUCAGUUUUCUGAGAAUGAUGGUUUCCAGAUUCAUUCAAGUCCUUACAAAGGACACAAAAUUAUUUUUUAUGGCUGCAUAGUAUUCCAUGGUGUAUAUGUACCACAUUUUCUUUGUCCGGUCUAUCACUGAUGGGCAUUUGGGUUGGUUACGGGUCUUUGCUAUUAUACACAGGGCUGCAAUGAACAUAUGUGUGCAUAUGUCUUUAUAGUAGAAUGAUUUAUAGUUCUUUGGGUAUAUACCCAGUAGUGGGAUUGCUGGGUCAAAUGAAAUUUCUAGAAUUUCUAUUUCUAGAUCCUUGAGAAAUCGCCACACUGUCUUCCACAAUGAUUUUAACAACAGACAUUUGUUUUCUCACAAUUCUGAUGGCCAGAAGUCUGAGAUCAAGGUUUCAUCUGGGUUGAUUUUUUUUUUCUGAGGCCUCUCCUUUAGGCUUUUAAAUGGCCAACUAUUUCUUCUGUCUUCACAUAAUCUUUCUUCUGUGUGUGUAUAUGUCUUUAUCUCCUGUUUUCAUAAGUACAUUAGUCAUCUUGGAUUAGGGCCAGUCAUCUUGGAUUUUGUCCUGUUUUCAUCAGUAUACCAGUCAUCUUGGGUUAGAGUCAUUCUGAAGCACAAAGUGUUAGGACUUCAAUACAGAAAUUUAGGGAGAACACAAUUAAACCAGUAUAGACGCUUUACCUUGCAACUGUAUAGAGAUGAGUCUUCUUGAAAAGAAUUGAACUCACAUUAUGGGAGAAAAUGUAUGCAAACUUACAUGCAGUUACAACUGUAUGUCUAUUUAGACUCAUUCCCAUGCAUCCAUAUAUACAUAUAUAGUAAUACCUAAUAUCUGAGAAUAAUUAGCACAUCUUUUAUAAUAAACAAG